GAUGAAGAACGCAGCGAAAUGCGAUAAGUAAUGUGAAUUGCAGAAUUCAGUGAAUCAUCGAAUCUUUGAACGCACAUUGCGCCCCCUGGUAUUCCGGGGGGCAUGCCUGUUCGAGCGUCAUUUCACCACUCAAGCCUCGCUUGGUAUUGGGCAACGCGGUCCGCCGCGUGCCUCAAAUCGACCGGCUGGGUCUUCUGUCCCCUAAGCGUUGUGGAAACUUUCGCUAAAGGGUGUUCGGGAGGCUACGCCGUAAAACAACCCCAUUUCUAAGGUUGACCUCGGAUCAGGUAGGGAUACCCGCUGAACUUAAGCAUAUCAAUAAGCGAAGGA
rnacentral:misc_RNA from 1 species